UACGAAGGGGGCUAGCGUUGCUCGGAAUGACUGGGCGUAAAGGGCGCGUAGGCGGUUCGUACAGUCAGACGUGAAAUUCCCGGGCUCAACCUGGGGGCUGCGUUUGAUACGUGCGAGCUGGAGUUCGGAAGAGGGUCGUGGAAUUCCCAGUGUAGAGGUGAAAUUCGUAGAUAUUGGGAAGAACACCGGUGGCGAAGGCGGCGACCUGGUCCGAUACUGACGCUGAGGCGCGAAAGCGUGGGGAG
rnacentral:rRNA from 1 species